rnacentral:sRNA from 1 species
UCAGUUGAUGAGCAAAUACUGCCAC